rnacentral:lncRNA from 1 species
CAGAAAGAAGAUGAGAGAGGAUAUUUCAGGCUUGUGGGGUUCUUGAAGAAUUGCAAGGAGGGCAAUUUAGGGGAGAUAGCACUGAAGAUGAAGCUGAAAAGGAGCACAGAGGCAUGGUGUGGGUCUCUAUAUAGUCUGCAGUGAUCCAGUUGACAUCUAUUCCAGUGAAUGUGAGAUGAAGCAUCUAUGCAUUUCAUCAGAUUGCCUGACCCAGUGUGGCUCCCCAAGCACUGCAAGGACUUGGUGAAAAUCUGAAGCUGACAAGGAAACGUCAAAUAAGGUACAAUCCAAGUAAAUACCAGGAAUGAAACAUUAGCAUUUGAU